UGCCCUUCGGGGCAUGCGCCUGUGGAUCGAGCGGCGGACGGGUGAGUAACACGUGGGCAACCUGCCUGUAAGACUGGGAUAACUCCGGGAAACCGGAGCUAAUACCGGAUAACACCUUUCAUCGCAUGGUGAGAGGAUAAAAGAUGGCCUUUGGCUAUCACUUACAGAUGGGCCCGCGGCGCAUUAGCUAGUUGGUGGGGUAAGAGCCUACCAAGGCGACGAUGCGUAGCCGACCUGAGAGGGUGAUCGGCCACACUGGGACUGAGACACGGCCCAGACUCCUACGGGAGGCAGCAGUAGGGAAUCUUCCGCAAUGGACGAAAGUCUGACGGAGCAACGCCGCGUGAGUGAUGAAGGUUUUCGGAUCGUAAAGCUCUGUUGUCAGGGAAGAACAAGUGCCGUUCGAAUAGGGCGGCGCCUUGACGGUGCCUGACCAGAAAGCCCCGGCUAACUACGUGCCAGCAGCCGCGGUAAUACGUAGGGGGCAAGCGUUGUCCGGAAUUAUUGGGCGUAAAGCGCGCGCAGGCGGUCCUUUAAGUCUGAUGUGAAAUCUUGCGGCUUAACCGUGAGCGGUCAUUGGAAACUGGAGGGCUUGAGUGCAGAAGAGGAGAGUGGAAUUCCACGUGUAGCGGUGAAAUGCGUAGAGAUGUGGAGGAACACCAGUGGCGAAGGCGACUCUCUGGUCUGUAACUGACGCUGAGGUGCGAAAGCGUGGGUAGCAAACAGGAUUAGAUACCCUGGUAGUCCACGCCGUAAACGAUGAGUGCUAGUGUCAGG
rnacentral:rRNA from 1 species